rnacentral:rRNA from 1 species
GAUGAACGCUGGCGGCGUGCCUAAUACAUGCAAGUCGAGCGAACGGACGAGAAGCUUGCUUUUCUGAUGUUAGCGGCGGACGUGUGAGUAACACGUGGAUAACCUACCUAUAAGACUGGGAUAACUUCGGGAAACCGGAGCUAAUACCGGAUAAUAUUUUGAACCGCAUGGUUCAAAAGUGAAAGACGGUCUUGCUGUCACUUCUAGAUGGAUCCGCGCUGGAUUAGCUAGUUGGUAAGGUAACGGCUUACCAAGGCAACGAUGCAUAGCCGACCUGAGAGGGUGAUCGGCCACACUGGAACUGAGACACGGUCCAGACUCCUACGGGAGGCAGCAGUAGGGAAUCUUCCGCAAUGGGCGAAAGCCUGACGGAGCAACGCCGCGUGAGUGAUGAAGGUCUUCGGAUCGUAAAACUCUGUUAUUAGGGAAGAACAUAUGUGUAAGUAACUGUGCACAUCUUGACGGUACCUAAUCAGAAAGCCACGGCUAACUACGUG